GCAGCCGCAGCCCCUGGCGCUAACGGUCGGUAACGGCCCGCGCGCGCCGCCCGCCGGGGGCUCGCGCCAGCCACGAGGGAGCGUCCGCGGCCCGCGCGCCCGCGCGGCGGAGGAGAGGUGAGCCCCCGCCCGGGCCAGGCCCUCUGGCCGCGCCGUCCGCCCCUCUAGUCGUGUCCCCUCGUGGGCCGAACGGACGCGGCGGUGCCCCGCGCCCGACCAGACGUCCCGUGGGCUAGGGCCUGGGCCUCGGGCCGCGUCGGCGCCGGUCGAGCCUCUCCGGGUGUCGGGGUUCGGGGCGGGCGCGCGUGGGCGUGGCUCCUCUGUCCACGCCUGUUCCCUUCGUCGCCGCGGCUCUCGUCCGGGACACGGCUUUCCGGAGUAGAGCCCUUGGAGGUGUUAAGUGUGAUGCUUCCAUAAUACAUUUGGAUGCUGUCAGCUAAGUUCACUUCUGAACUAAGGGGUUCCUCCAAAUGUUGGCUGAAAUUCAUCCCAAGGCUGGUCUGCAAAGUCUGCAAUUCAUAAUGGAGCUACUGUACUGGCUAUUGGAAGGAGGAGAUUCUGAAGAUAAGGAGUUCUCUUGUAGGAUGCCACUGGAAAUGUUGAAAUGAAAAAUAUUCAGCCGUUGGUCUUUGAAAUUUCCUGUGAUGUGUUUCAAUCUAGAUGCAAAGAACAUGGAAAAAUCAAAGUGCUCGAGUGGUUUAAAUAUGUUUUGGGUAUUCCUGUUUAUAGACUAUAAUACUUUUCCAAUUAAAAUCCU
rnacentral:lncRNA from 1 species